UGUAUACUCCCUCCGUCCGAAAAUACUUGUCAUCAAAAUGGAUAAAAAAAGGAUGUAUCUAGAACUAAAAUACAUCUAGAUACAUCUCCCUUUAUCCAUUUUGAUGACAAGUAUUUCCAGACGGAGGGAGUAUAUA
rfam:Triticum urartu cultivar G1812 contig348766, whole genome shotgun sequence.